UACACUUGACUACUGGAGUUUGAUAUUUCAUAUUGUUUUAGUAAUGCCUCUUUUACGGAUUCUGCCUUUUAGUUUCCAUGAUUAACUCUUCUCAUGAGUUAGAUCCAAGCUUUACUCACUGAGAGAAGAGUAAAAGGUCUUUUGCAUUAAAAAUAAGUACUAAAUAUUCCUCCUGUCUUCUACUCUGCCAUACUUUAUUAUUAGGACCAUCUCAGGAAUAAUCUUCUGCAACCUUUUGAAUUACCAUCUUGUCCACCUGUGAAUGUGAUCACUUUUCCCUUCAUGUUUGCAGGAUGUGGCUGGGAAACAGGCAAAGGAGGAGAGACUUUGUUAAAGCAGUAACUGUUUAUGUCCUUUAUCAGUUGCACAGGUUAUCUGGUUUAUAAACAUUUCUAAAGAAAUCUGUGUGUUUUAUAAGGGACUUCGGAGGAAUGUCAGAGAGAGUUCCUCAGUGGGAGGUUGUUUGCAUACUAAUGCAUUGCUCUCUUUGUUUGUGGUUUGCUCAUUUAACUUCUUGUUUUAUCAUCAGGAGGAAGAGUUACAUGGGAGGUGGAAUUCUGACAUCAUGAUCAGAAGUUGGCAGCUAAUCCAAGCCUUUGUGAAAUGAAAUUCCUGAAAGCCAAACUUAUUGGUUGUGAGGUCCCAUAGGAAUCUACGUCAGUAUUUGUAAAGAAGAGUCAUCUACAGCCUAUCUUAGGCAAACUGUUUCCUGAUAAUUAAGCUAACAUUUCACAGACCUGUAGGACAAACUGAAGAAUGUGUUUUGGGAGAGAUGCCUAAGCUAUCAGAGGACAGAAUUGUUUUGUAAGUUCCCAAACAAUAGCGAUAUUUAAAAUAUAUUCUUAAAGGACAUUAUACUUGCAGCUUGUUAGACUUUGAUGCUCUUUAUUACCCACAAUUACAUAAGGAUAAUUUGCCUGAGAAAAAUUCAUUGCCAACAGCAUGCUAGACCUCCAUUUCAACUUCUGAGGAAAUAACUAUUGCAAGCAGUCCAACCUACUGUGUUUUCUAUGUAAUGCACUGCUUGUUCUGCUCAGUGUGACUUCAGGUAAAACUGUAUUUCCAAAAGGCACCCCAGUCAGCUGUGAAUGCAUACAGGUUCCCCAGUAUCAAUCAGAGAAUAGGAUUUCAAAUAUCCUGAGCCCAGAAACGUGCCUGGCACUUGUGCUGGCUCUGCAUCUAAAUACCCCGGAUUUUUCCAAUCUCUUCUGGCUCAACUGAAGGAUCACAGGUGCUGUUUGGGGAAAAUACUCUAUUAUGGGCUGUGAAGAUCUGUCUAUAAUCAGUGUGUCCCAUAUCUUGUAACCAGUUAUUUUGCUUAGCUUUAUUUUGAAGACAGAGGAACAAAUAAAUGAGAGAGCAGACCCAAGCACUGAUGAACUUUGAACUUAUUUGAAUGUGAAGCUGAUUAGCCACAAUUGAGAGAGCACAAAACCCCAAUCUGAACACUCUGAAGUUCAACACAUGAAGCUCCUGGAUCUAAAUCCUGUGUUUCACAUGUAUCUUCACCUGUAUCCAUCUUUACCUACGAGAGAGAAAAGCAGCUUCAAAUCACUUCCUUCCCAGAAGUAUGGGACUGCUUCUCCACUGUGUAAUCCCUGAGCUGAGAGAUGACGCAGUGUCCCAGCUUCUGGACCCUGGGUUUUCCCCAAGUGUCAGGUCACUCUUCCUCACGGGUGAUUGUUUACUAUCAUCAUCUAAAAGAACUGCAUCUUCCAUGACUAGAUUUACAGGUACAACCACUUAAAAAAAAAAAAAA